UCGGAUAUACGUUUUAGCCACAGACCGGCUCGUGGCUAAAAAGUAUACUGAAAUCUGAUAUACUUUUUAGCCACAGACCCUCGUGGCUAAAAGUAUA
rnacentral:miRNA from 1 species